rnacentral:rRNA from 1 species
ACGUAGGGGGCAAGCGUUGUUCGGAUUUACUGGGCGUAAAGGGCAUCUAGGCGGUUAUGUAAGUGUGGAUUUAAAGGCAGAGGCUUAACCUCUUGCAUGGUCUGCAAACUGCAUAACUAGAGUACAGAAGGGGAAACUGGAAUUCCGCAAGUAGGGGUGAAAUCUGUAGAUAUGCGGAAGAAUACCGGUGGCGAAGGCGAGUUUCUGGUCUGUAACUGACGCUGAAAUGCGAAAGUGCGGGGAGCAAACAGGAUUAGAUACCCUGGUAGUCCGCACCGUAAACGUUGUACACUAGGUGUUAGAGGGUUAUUCCUCUAGUGCCGGAGCUAACGCGUUAAGUGUACCGCCUGGGGAGUAUGCUCGCAAGGGUG